rnacentral:rRNA from 1 species
UACGUAGGGUGCGAGCGUUGUCCGGAAUUAUUGGGCGUAAAGGGCUCGUAGGCGGUCUGUUGCGUCAGGAGUGAAAACUCGGGGCUUAACCCCGAGCCUGCUUUCUGAUACGGGCAGACUAGAGGUAUGCAGGGGGAGAACGGAAUUCCUGGUGUAGCGGUGAAAAUGCGCAGAUAUCAGGAGGAACACCGGUGGCGAAGGCGGUUCUCUGGGCAUUACCUGACGUGAGGAGCGAAAAGUGUGGGGGAGCGAACAGG